GAGUUUGAUCAUGGCUCAGGAUGAACGCUGGCGGCGUGCUUAACACAUGCAAGUCGAACGAACCUUCGGGUUAGUGGCGGACGGGUGAGUAACGCGUGAGAAUCUGCCCUCAGGAGGGGGAUAACGGCUGGAAACGGCCGCUAAUACCCCAUAUGCCGAGAGGUGAAAUGAAUUUCGCCUGAGGAUGAGCUCGCGUCUGAUUAGCUAGUUGGUGCGGUAAUGGCUCACCAAGGCUUCGAUCAGUAGCUGGUCUGAGAGGACGAUCAGCCACACUGGGACUGAGACACGGCCCAGACUCCUACGGGAGGCAGCAGUGGGGAAUUUUCCGCAAUGGGCGAAAGCCUGACGGAGCAACGCCGCGUGAGGGAUGAAGGCCUCUGGGCUGUAAACCUCUUUUCUCAAGGAAGAAGAACUGACGGUACUUGAGGAAUAAGCCACGGCUAAUUCCGUGCCAGCAGCCGCGGUAAUACGGGAGUGGCAAGCGUUAUCCGGAAUUAUUGGGCGUAAAGCGUCCGCAGGCGGCCUUGAAAG
rnacentral:rRNA from 1 species